rnacentral:tRNA from 1 species
UGGGCUGUCGCCAAGUUGGUAAGGCACGAGACUUUGACUCUCGCAUUCGUAGGUUCGAGUCCUGCCAGCCCAG